ensembl:lncRNA
UUUCAGAGAAUGACUAGAGUCCGUUGGUGGUCAGGGGUGGUUCCUGGAUUCAGAAAUAGUGAAAUGGAAAAGGAAGGCCUCAAGAAGUGUGGGGUCAGGACCAGAUGUGAAGAGGAGGAUUGAAGAUAUGGAUUUGAAGAGACUUGAAAACAUAGGUGAAGAGAAAGCCACCCAUAAGGGCACUGAAAGCGCAAGAUUUGGCCGUGUUGUUGCUGACAUGCUGGAAAAGAUCCCAGAUCAUAAAAGGGAAGCAGUAAAAUUUAAACUUUACACGCUGCUUUAUGAGGCUCUCCACCCAAACGUAUCGUAGUUAACGACAAUCAAACAGAUAGAGAAGUUAUUUUUACAUCCUUUUUAAAAAUAUUUUACUUUCUGUCACAGUUUUUGACAAAAAAGAAUGUUACUUGCAUUAAAAAAAAACGGUGUUCAAUUUCAAAUUCAAUGCAGUCCUGUAUUUUCUUUACCCUUCUUCAGCAUACUUUUUCUAAGCACAUUCUCCUGCCAGGGUACAAGUCUCUGUGGUGUGAGAAUGAUUUAAAGUCAUUUUGAGCUGAGAUUGCAGCAUGAGUUGCUUGUGCUUUGCUGACACGGCCAGUGUCCAACAAGUUGUUUACGCCUGCUCCCAUUCCCCGUUUUUUUCAAAAACAUUUGAAAUAUAGUAUAAAAGCCACACGUGUUCUUUCAUGCUGAUUCCGCACGUCUUUCAUGGGGAAAGCAUAAUCCAUGCUUAACUCUAGCAUGUCUAUAGUGCCCCUGGUUUUAGCCAUGUUCCAAACGGGCUGUUCCAGGGUCUGUAGUUUCAAUUCCAGGAGCCAGCUUGGGUUGAUUCUUCUCCUGCAGUGACGUCACAACAGGCUACAGACCUGAAUUACUUGAUUAGAAGAACACUUACUGAUCUGUUGGGAAAAGAAAGACAUGAUGGGAUGGACUUUUCUCAUAUUUUGUGGGUAUCUAGACGCUGCGUAGUUAUGCUCAGCAACAAUGAAAAACUGGAUUUUGCAUGACAAGGCCACUUAAAUGAAAAAAUAUCCCAUUUUUAUUACAAUUGAGUGCUCCUUAUGGACAUUUAAAGUCAUUUGGAGGUAUUUAUUUUUAUCACCAAAAAAGUGUUUACAUCACAACAAGAACAAAUGGCCAUUGUGAAUAUAUGGCAAUAAUGUGUCUUUAAUUCAU